rnacentral:rRNA from 1 species
CAGUAGCCGCGGUAAUACGAAGGGGGCUAGCGUUGCUCGGAAUGACUGGGCGUAAAGGGCGCGUAGGCGGCGGCCAAAGUCAGACGUGAAAUUCCUGGGCUCAACCUGGGGGCUGCGUUUGAUACUUGGUUGCUUGAGUGGGGAAGAGGGUCGUGGAAUUCCCAGUGUAGAGGUGAAAUUCGUAGAUAUUGGGAAGAACACCGGUGGCGAAGGCGGCGACCUGGUCCUUGACUGACGCUGAGGCGCGAAAGCGUGGGGAGCAAAUAGGAUUAGAUACCCCCGUAGUCCCUGUCUCUUAUAC